AUUGAACGCUGGCGGCAGGCCUAACACAUGCAAGUCGAACGAGUGGCGGACGGGUGAGUAAUGUCUGGGAAACUGCCCGAUGGAGGGGGAUAACUACUGGAAACGGUAGCUAAUACCGCAUACCAUCGGAUGUGCCCAGAUGGGAUUAGCUAGUAGGUGGGGUAACGGUUCACCUAGGCGACGAUCCCUAGCUGGUCUGAGAGGAUGACCAGCCAAACGGGAACUGAGAGAGGGUCCAGCCUCCUGCGGGAGGCAGCAGUGGGGAAUAUGUCACGAUGGGCGCAAGCCUGAUGCAGCCAUGCCGCGGGUGUGAAGAAGGCCUUCGGGUUGUAAAGCACUUUCAGCGGGGAGGCGUUACCCGCAGAAGAAGCACCGGCUAACUCCGUGCCAGCCGCCGCGGUAAUAC
rnacentral:rRNA from 1 species